AGUCACUGACAUUAGAUACCCGUGUAGUCCUAGCCGUAAACGAUACUCGCUGGGUGUCGGCCACGGUGCGACCGUUGUCGGUGCCGUAGGGAAGCCGUGAAGCGAGCCACCUGGGAAGUACGGCCGCAAGGCUGAAACUUAAAGGAAUUGGCGGGGGAGCACCACAGCGGGUGGAGCUUGCGGUUUAAUUGGAUUCAACGCCGGAAAUCUUACCGGGACCGACAGCAACAUGAAGGCCAGGCUGAAGACUUUGCCGGAUUAGCUG
rnacentral:rRNA from 1 species